CUGCAUUCUUAGCAGUAUACCCAAUUUGAAGAUCUUUCACGAAAAACUGUCAACAAAACUGCGAUGCUCGGAAAGAGUGGGCGACGUUGGAGAUUGGCUAAAUAAUACUGGGAGAAGAAGCAAGAAAUUAGAACCCAUUCAUCCUAGAUUUGACCUUUUCUCAUAGGACUCUUACCAAUGGCAUCACAAGCUGGGGGUCUGGUUCAAGAUCAGAAUAUAAAUAUCCACUACAAUGGAACUCUAUCUAUUCUGUGUUCAUAUAUAUAUAUAUAUACUUUUUCUGGCUGUGUUGUGGCCUGACUUCAUUUACCGCGCGCA
rnacentral:misc_RNA from 1 species